rnacentral:misc_RNA from 1 species
AAAAACUAGAGUCGAGAAAGCAGUUAUUUACAUUAUAUGCAUUUUUGAGACAACCAUAUGAGAUUCAGAUAUCUCAAAUUUCCAACAUAGCCAUGAUCCCUCUUUACCUUUAAGCACUAGCACAGGAACCUUCAACCUAAAUGUAAAAAUACAAGAAGAGUACUCAGCUGAAAUCCACAUGCUGCAUUUCCACCUUAGGAUAAUCACUGAUGUUGUUACUGGCCACAUGCAGCAAUUAUGUUUAUGUUUUCUGCCAAUUCCAACCUCUCCAUUUCACAUUGCUCAGCCAUCCAAAAUUGAGCAAAGGUUGCCCUGACUGUAACUUCACAAGGUGUAUUCUGU